UACGGGAGGCAGCAGUGGGGAAUAUUGCACAAUGGGCGCAAGCCUGAUGCAGCCAUGCCGCGUGUAUGAAGAAGGCCUUCGGGUUGUAAAGUACUUUCAGUCGUGAGGAAGGUGUUAAGGUUAAUAACCUUAGCAAUUGACGUUAGCGACAGAAGAAGCACCGGCUAACUCCGUGCCAGCAGCCGCGGUAAUACGGAGAGGGCUAGCGUUAUUCGGAAUUAUUGGGCGUAAAGAGCGCGUAGGCUGAUUAGUAAGUUAAAGUGAAAUCCCAAAGCUUAACUUUGGAAUUGCUUUUUAAACUGCUAGUCUAGAGAUUGAAAGAGGAUAGAGGAAUUCCUAGUGUAGAGGUGAAAUUCGUAAAUAUUAGGAGGAACACCAGUGGCGAAGGCGUCUAUCUGGUUCAAAUCUGACGCUGAGGCGCGAAGGCGUGGGGAGCGAAACAGGGAUUAGAUACC
rnacentral:rRNA from 1 species